rnacentral:misc_RNA from 1 species
GUCCCCAACCUUCGCCUCCAGCGCGGCCUUCUCCGCCGUGCGCUCGCGGAUGACAUCAUGUGAGUUCUUCAGCUCCUCACUCGCUGAUUCGGCGGCGAACUGGAGCGAGAUGAUGUGCUCCUGAGUUUCGAUGAUCUGGCCCUCAAGGUGGGAGGCGUGGGAGGCGAUCGCCUUCUUCUCGGCCUCGGAGCGCUCGAUCUCGGUCUCCGCCAGCUGCAGCUUGUCCUGGAGGUCAGAUA